AGAAAUACUAGGCUUUAGAAUUUCACCAUAUGAAUUUUGGGAGAGAGGAGCACAGUUCAGCCCAUAACUAACACACGACGGAAUGAAGUUGAUAAUAGUGAGACCUUGUUGGUACAAGACUAUGUAACAUAACCUGCGCUUCUCAACAAAGAAUUGCUUUUCUGACUUCUGCACUCAGUUCUUUCCUCCAGCUCACUUUAUUGUAAGAACCUUGGUGUCUGUAAUCGGCUCGGAACCCUUGCUGCUCUUUCACUGAAUAUCGCUGUCUGGAGCAACACGCUGUCCUGGAUAGCUAACGUGUUUAUGAAUGCAAGGAAAUUUUCAAAAAGGGAGUUUGAAAUUUAACUCCACAAACUACUAUCUGGAUUGGAAUGCUACAUUAAAUGUAUUAUAAUUUUGUAUGGACAUAUAAGGAUGGGGAAUGAAAAGCAUCCAAGGCCAUAUGUUGAUAAUCUUUUGAUAUGUUAAGAAAUAAUCUAGUGUUAUUUUCUAUUUCUUCUCAAAUGUUUUUAGAGGUUACUUGGUACACUGGUCGACAAAACCUUGAAAUGUUGAUGUUUAAGGGCUGUUGAUUGCUGGCAGCAAAGAAGUCCAACUGUGCUGGUACCCGAGAUAGCGUCUCCACAUUUUCUUCCAGGAUCAUCACCUUUGUUCUAAAUAGCUCCCACAUAGUGUGAACAGAAGUCAUAUGUUUUAGAUUUUCUGCCUUGGCACCCAGG
rnacentral:lncRNA from 1 species